CUGAUAAGGUCUGUUAGGUUAGAUAUAAUUGCUAUUUUAUUUUAAAUCACAGCAAAGUUAUUUGUGUUCACCCUUGGGUUUAUUUAGAAAAUACAAGGUUACAAAGGGCUUCCAAAGAUCAUUAUUAGCAGUAAGAAGAUUACCGAGGAAAGGAAAAGUGGUAAGGAAGUGGGAAGAAAACCGAAGACUGAUGACUGAAUAAGAUCUUACAUAUUUGCAUAGCUCAGAAAUUUGAAUACUAUAUCCAGGAGUCUAUUUUUUUUUCAACUUGUAAAAAAUGGUAGUAAAAUACAAAAAACAUAAAAUGUUCUAUCUUAACCAUUUUUAGGAGCACAGUUCAGUGUUAUUAAAUAUAUUCACAAUGUUGUGCAACCAUUACCACCAUCCAUCUCCAUAACUCUGUUCAUCUUAUAAAACUGAAACUAUGGCCGUUUUAAGUCCCCAUUGCCCUUCUUCCCAGUAACCACUAUUCUAUUUUGUCUCCAUGAUUUUGGUUACUCUAUAUACUUCAUGUCAGUGGAAUUACACAGUAUUUAUAUUUUUGUGGCUGGGUUAUUUCACUUAGCAUAAGUCCUUAGGAUUCAUGUAAUGUGUAGUAUAUAUCAGAAUUUCCUUCCUUUUUAAGGCUAAAUAAUAAUCCAGUGAAUGGAAAUAGCACAUUAUGCUAAAGUAUUCACUGCUGAUGGACAUUUAGGUUGCUACAUUUUAGCUACUAUGAAUUAUCAUUCAGCCAAGCACUGUGGCUCAUGCUUGCAGUCCCAGCUAUGCAAGAGGUUAAAGCAGGAAGAUCGCUUGAGUCCAGGAUUUCAAGGCCAGCUUGGGCAACACAGUGAGACCUCAUCUCUUAAAACUGUAAUAGGCCCACUUGCUCCCUCCUGCCAUCUGGCUGACAUGAAGAACUGGAGGUGGCAGCAGUGGUAGCCUGCAUCUGAGGCUCAUGGGCUGCAAGCCCCUGCUCGUGCACCAUGGAUGAUUUUGCCAAAGAAAGUUUCACUGUAGUGGAUUAUGUCUUGUUAGAAAAUUGCCCUAAUAUGGGUGACUAUGUCGUUGCUCCUCAAUUUAUGACCGACAAUUAUGUUCGUGUGACUCAGCUUAACUGGGAUGGGGUGGGUACGCAAUAAAAAGAUUACAUCUAAGUGAGAGAAAUUUAGCAAUUCUUGUGGUUCUGAGAUAAGUUUGAAGAAAUCACAACAUCUUGAGUUGAUAGAAGAUAUUGUGGAUUUGGCAAAGAAAGUUGCUGUAAGUGGUAGAAAAA
rnacentral:lncRNA from 1 species